rnacentral:lncRNA from 1 species
AACCACAAACUGCUGGAAGUGCUAACAGGUACUUUCAUAUCUGAUUUAGUUGUAGUUCAACGUUUUUCGUUUCAGAAGCUACCUAGCUCAUACUUGUCUCUCUUCCGAACUGACUCCCACAAGAAUAAACUAAGGGGAGAUUUCGCCUGGAUGUGUAAUGGAAAACAUGACAUAGUCUUCCAUACCUCUCAGUUUUAUAUGAUUUUCUUUGCAAUCAUCACUGAAUUUAGUUCGUUUUUUUGGAAUAACCUAUGCUUUCUCCUUCUGUUUAGGUAUGUUCAGCAUCACUCCAACACGCAAAAGAAGGAUGAUGACAAUGCGGACAAAAACUUAGCUCGAACCAUAAUGCACAAUAAACAAUAUAGCUUAUCGGGCCGUGCUGAUGAUGAGUACGAUUUUGAGGAUGGGCCAAGAAAGAAAUCACGAAAGAAGGAGAAAGACAAUGAUCGGAAAUCUGAGAACAUCAGUCUUGGUAGGAGCAUCAUGACACAACAAGACCGCUGUCUGUUUUGCUUUGAGAACCCAAAUAGACCAAAGCAUUUAGUUUUGUCGAUAGCAAACUUCACCUAUUUGAUGUUGCCUCAAAGGAAGCCAGUUGUACCAGGUCAUUGCUGCAUCGUACCUUUACAGGUAAACUUGGCGUAGUUACUCCUGAUUUUCUGCAGCAUGUUUAUGAUAUUUUCACCAAUUUCCCUUGGUUAAUCUAACUGCGAAAUUCCUGUUGCAGCAUGAAUCAUCUACAAGGACUGUAGACAAUAACGCAUGGGAGGAGAUUCGGAAUUUCAAGAAAUGCCUGAUAAUGAUGUUUGCAAAGCAAGACAAAGAGGUAGUGUUUCUUGAAACGGUAAUGGGUUUGGCCAAACAACGUCGACAUUGUUUAGUUGAGUGCAUCCCUUUGCCACAAGAUAUUGCCAAAGAAGCCCCUCUUUAUUUCAAAAAGGUUGGUAACCUGUAUUGUUUCUUAAUUUUUACACCUGGUUUCAAUCAGCAUCCCUUGCUUCUAUGGUCAUGAAAAAAUUGUUAAAGAAUGAACCAUUUUUUAACUGACAGGCAAUCGACGAGGCUGAAGACGAAUGGAGUCAGCACAAUGCAAAAAAGCUGAUCGACACGAGCAUAAAGGGGCUGCGGGGAUCUAUCCCCAAGGACUUUCCAUAUUUCCAUGUUGAAUUUGGAUUGAAGAAAGGGUUCGCCCAUGUUAUCGACGAUGAGAGCCAGUUUAAUAGCAGCCUCGGCCUUAAUGUCAUAAGAGGGAUGAUGCAGCUACCCGAUGAAGAUAUGUAUCGACGAAGGAGACAAGAUUCUGGAGAAGGACAGAAGCUGGCAGUUGCUGAGUUUGCGCGGGAUUGGCAACCUUUCGAUUGGACUAAACAGCUAUGAGUCUGUCUAGAAAUGUUUCGCAAUGCAACUAUAUUUUGUUUUCCAUCAACGUACUAAUAUUGUAAUGAUUUUUAGCAAUUGUUUCCUAACCCUAACAAGUCAGAUUUUGACCUAGUUUUGUUAAUUGUACAUUCUUUUUCUACCUGGUAUAGUUUUUUUAUAGGGUUCUGCCUGGUAUAGUUAACUGGAGCCAAGAUUAAUACUGCGAUUGCUUCUGAACACAGUAUGCACUGAUUGUAGCAUUGUGCUACCGUUAACACGUUUCAAACAUGGAAUUGCUAAUUAAGAGUGCUUCUCUUUCUUCCCCUGCUCCUUCCCUUCCCACUUGACGAUGAAGCUGCUGUUGCUGUCCCGUGAGCUUCUUCCUUACUUGCAUCGUCACUUUCAUUGAAGCUUUCAGUUUUGUCUGUAGAUUCUCCCUUUUCUUCUUCGUCCUCAUCAGUGUCUUCUUCUCGUUCUGGUGGUUGCUUCUUGGAGAGCUGAUCUCGAAGCUCUCUAAUUUUCCGCUUUUUCGAGUUCAGAACUGCAAGGAACUGGAAAUAUACAAAGGCAUUAGCGAUGGGAUUGCAAAUCAGUUUUAUUGGGUAGAAUUGUAAAUGUUACACCUUUAGCUAUCUUCCACAUUCAGAAUCACAAUUCACAUCCAUCUUGAUCAGAACAACUUGACCAGGGAGGAAAUGAUCAAAACAUCUCAGAGUUCAGCUGUGCUAAAAUAAUCCUCAUCAAAUGUGAGCCUAAGUAUCAUCACAAACACUAGACUUGAAAGAUAAUUCCAGACAUGCGAUGAAUUAAUCAGUGCUUCAAAUGGAAACCCAAGCCAUUAGUGUGUCUUAGAAACAUAACGAUCAAAGUUUCAGAGAUGUAAUUCAGACUUUCGGAGAACAGGAGGAGCAUCAACAUAGAUCUUCAAGAACAAAGAACCAAAAAGAAAGCUAUUGGCAGCAAAGAGGUUUCCUAAUCUUCUAAACAAAUUAAUGGCUUCCAUUGCGGUAUGUAGGUUAUUGACAGAAAUCGGAAAGUUGAAGCACUUAACCUUUGCAUAGAUUGCAGACUCAAACUCCACUUUCUCACUGCAAUACCUCUCGCUUUGCGCCAGGCAUUUCUCAGCUUCCCCUUUCAUCUGCUCAAAUGACCGCGUCUUUCUAACAACUUCUUCCUACAACAGUUGAAACGUGGAGAUUGAGAACAGAUGCAAUCACGGUUUUUGCUUUACUAGAACUGAACAAAAUCAGAAGGUGGAGGGUUUUAGUUUACACUGAGCCUUAUAUUUGCGUCCAUAAGGAAAUCCAAGAUCCUUGCUGUAGUCUUCUUACUGUCAGGCGAUGGCUGGAACUUCCAUCUCCAUUGUAGCGUCAUCCCUUCUUUUUCAAAGGUCCAUGAUAACUUCAAAAUAACUCAACCCAAACUAUAUUCAAUUACAAAACCACGGCCGAGAUUUGGAGCCAAUUCCACUAUUCUCUGGAUAAAAAAAUAUGCCUAAAGGAAAAGCCAGAUUGAGGGGGGAGCAGAAGACUAACUCGUUUACAACCAUCGCCGACAUCGUCGAACCUGUAGACCGAGCCAGGGAUUUGAAACCCUAGGUGAUUCUCAGCCAAUUGAAUGUACUCGGUAAUCGAUUGAUCCCACUGCGCCGCUCUCUCUUUAACCUCGUCUUCCGUAGCUGCCAAUUUGGGCAAGAGCUCAGAUCAGCAAGAAAAAAAAAAGGAAAUAAGCAAAGCUCCAAACAACGUUGAACUCAUCAAGCAAGAGCUAACAUUUCAGUACAACAGAACUGGGCAUCAGGAGGGAAGGAAUAGAGGUUUUAUACCGUAGCAAACCCAAGAGUGAAGGCCGUCCGCUACAGAGAGGUCGAAGUGAGUCUCGAACCAAGUUCCUUUGACGAAUACCGGUUCGCUCGUAGCGUCGGAAACCUCGAGCUUCAAGCAUGUGUGCCUCCUCGUCGCCGCCGUCGUAUCCAUUUCCUCCGACUGAGUCGUCCCCCGUCUUGCUCGACAAGCUUCGCAGUUCCUUUGGCGCCGUGAUUAUAUUGAGUAUUCAAUAUUCAUUUGUUCUGCAACGACAACGUUUGAUACUAAAAGGAAAAAGAGAGCGGUUAAUAUUAAAAAAAAAAGGAAAUAAAGGAGAAAACUCCAAAAAUCACGACAGCAGCAGAGGAAUCCCAGUUUGUUUGUGUACGCCUUCAAUCACUCACAAGUCACACCUUCCUUUUCAUCAACAAAAUGGAUUUAUGAAUUCAAAACUCUAAUGCGCAGUACUACCGAUUCCAAACAAUUCCCUGAAAAUGGCGUCUCCAGAACUUCAUCCUACAAGCCAUUUCACCUUUCUUCUGCUAGUCUGCUUAAUCAGCUGCUCAAUCUCAACACUAGCAAAUGAAGCCGACACUAUCAAAACCAUGGAGGAUUUCUCUGGCUACCCACUUCACGAGACAAUCAAUCCCUUCGGUUCCAGAUCACUUUCAGUUGACGGCGAAAGCCUGCAGAGACAGGUAUUGACAAAACAACUGGGAGCUUCUUUCAAUUUAAAGACUGACUUCUUCUUACUUCGAAUUCUCGCUUUGUUUUGUAGAUUGAUGAGCUCUCGACCUUCUCGGAUACACCGGCACCAUCGGUCACUAGGGUUCUUUAUACUGACAAGGAUGUCUUGGCUCGCAGGUAAAUUGCUUCCAUUUGUGUUUUCAGGAUGUGUGUAUUUAUUGUUUCUUGUUGAUUCUUCUGGUUUCCUUCCUGUCCAUGUUUUCACAUUACAGGUACGUUAAGAAUUUGAUGGUACUUUCUGGCCUCUCUGUUAGAGAAGAUGCCGUGGGAAAUAUCUUUGGCCGCUGGUAAGUUCGAAGUCUUCUCUUGUUUCAUCAAUUUUGCUACUACAAUUGGAAACAAGAUUUGCUUCAUGCAACUGGUUUGUCUCAUUAUUGACCUCAAUUUGAUUUCGGUUUAUUUUAAGGGAUGGGAACGAGCCAGGGCUCCCAGCUGUGGCAACCGGUUCUCACAUUGAUGCCAUUCCAUACUCUGGAAAGUAUGAUGGAGUUGUUGGUGUCUUAGGUGCAAUCGAAGCCAUAAAUGUAUUGAAGAGGUAAAUUAUAAUGUGAAUCAUUCAUCAUGUAGCAGCUCCCUUUUCUUUUUCUUGUGAGAUGAAAUGGUAGUUUAUUAAGCUUGCAUAUUAUGUACCUGCUAAGCUCUAUAACUGCUACACAGGUCAGGGUUCCAACCAAAGAGGUCAUUAGAAGUUAUCCUAUUCACAUCAGAAGAACCAACAAGAUUUGGGAUCAGCUGCUUGGGAAGGUAAUUACAGCUGCCUUUUACAUUGAAUUUGAGAUGCAAUGGAAAGAUUUGGAGUGUAUCUUAUUUACUAUGUUUGACUUGCAGCCGACUCUUGGCUGGGAGUAGCGCUCUGGCUGAAGCUUUGAAGACAACAACAGUAGAUGGUCAAAAUAUAUCAUUUGUAGAGGCUGCUAGAUCUGCUGGUUAUAUGAAAGAUGGGGAUGACUUAUCCAGUGUUUUCCUAGACAAUAGAAAUUAUUCUGCCUUCCUGGAACUUCAUAUAGAGCAGGGGCCGACUCUAGAGGCAGAAGGUAUAUACUAUUUCUCUAUGCAACUCCACCGUUCCUGCUCAUUGUAUUCUGGACUCUUAUUUAUCCACAUCUUGUUUGAAAUCAGGUUUGUCCAUCGGUAUAGUGACUGCAAUAGCAGCCCCAGCUAGCAUCAAGGUCGAUUUUGAAGGGAAUGGAGGCCAUGCCGGUGCUGUUUUGAUGCCAAACCGGUAAUCUUCACCUACCUUUGCACGGAAACUUUGUGAUGGUAUUUUGAGUUAUUGUGGUUUAUGUGACUAAAGUCUCCUUCCCACUUUCAAAUACUUGCGUAGUAAGAUAUGCUCAAACCCGCAAUGUUGAUAUUGAUAAGCACUAGAUUUAUGUGUAUGAUGGAACAGAAAUGAUGCUGGACUUGCAGCUGCUGAGUUGGCAUUAGCUGUUGAGAAACAUGUACUAGAUUCUGGCUCAAUUGAUACCGUUGGUACAGUAGGUAUGCAUUGUUUGUAAUUCUGUAUUGGUCUAUACCCUUGCAUACAUUUCGUCAUAGUUUUUACUUAAAGAGAAGUCUUUAUAAGCUAUUAAGUUCAUCCUUUCAUAGGUAUUCUAGAUCUUCACCCUGGUGCAAUCAACAGUAUCCCAAGCAAGUCACACCUAGAAAUAGGUAAUGUAUGCUGUUUUUGUCAACAGAACAACAGGUAAUCGAAGUUACUGUAGGUUAUGUCGAGAUCUACUCAUGGUUUCUUGUUUUCAACUGUUGCCAGAUACCAGGGAUAUUGACGAAAAACGAAGAAAUGAAGUGAUAAAAAAGAUUCAUGCAUCUGCAAUUGCAAUAGCCAAAAAACGUAGCGUGACGUUGUCAGAAUUCAAAAUAGUGAACCAAGACCCACCAGCUCUUUCAGAUAAAUCUGUAAUCGCGGCUAUGGAAGACGCAUCAAAGGAGUUGAACUUAACACUCAUAAGAUGAUGAUAAGCCGAGCCUACCAUGAUUCCUUGUUUAUGGCAAGGUAAAACAUUUCUUUUUUUUUUUUCAAGUUUGAAGUGCACAGUAUUGAAUUGUUAUUGCCAAGUUCCAUAUUCUUCACUGCAAACAAGUUGACUGACACAGUAAGAAUGAACUCUUGCAGAAAAGCUCCAAUGGGCAUGCUGUUCAUUCCAUGCUUCAAAGGUAUAUUUGAUUCAUAAAGAAGUUGUUGGGACACCGUUCUCUUCUCCGUCAACAAUUUAGUAGUCAACUUUACCCUAAAACACACAACUAAGUUAUAUAUUUACUUGGUUUUGAAGGAUCCAGCCAUAAACCUGAAGAAUAUUCUUCCAAGCAGGAUAUGGUCAACGGUGUCAAAGUACUUGCCCUUACACUCGCCAAACUUUCUGUACACUGAUGUCCAUUACCCACCAUUCAUAGACAAAAUUGCAUGAAAUUUGUUUAGUUCAUGGGGCUUUAUCUGUACACUUUUACCACUUUUUAUAUCAAUAAAUAAAUACAUUAGGAUUCCCUUGAUAUCCCACGUUGUUAUUUUCCAGUCACCACCAUGCUAAGUACUUUUAAGAUCAUGAACUCAACUUCUCAUUUCCAGUAACAAAUGAAGAGGGAUUGUUCUUCAGUUUACAAUGAAGCACACUCUAAGAAGUGAGAAAGCACUAGUAGUCCAGUUCCAGUAGUAGCUAGACGGCAACAACAGAAAGGAGAAAUGUACAGAUACAAGAACAGACGAUAAUCUGCAUACUGUGGCAGCUUGUUGACACUUGUAUUAACAAAACAAGAAAUCUGUCACCAGGUAGGAGCAGGACCAGUCAGAUGCUCUUCACCGCCAGCAAAGAUGCAGCCUUGGAGAUGGUAAUAGGCGCAUAGCUAGUGGGUUCCUCGGGUUUCUCAGCCUUCUCCAUCAGAAUCUCAAUCUAAUAUCCACAGAUGCAUAGGGACGUUAGGGGGGUGAAAUAACAUCUGCUACUACUUUUUGCAUAAACAAACAUCUUUCUAUAUGCAGAUACCAACCUUAGCCUUCUGAAUUACGCGCCCAGUGUCACUGUCCAUGCUUUCAACGCUAGACAUCUUGAUACCUGAUUGGUGGAGUUCCACAAUUAAAUAAACUUCAGUAACAAAACAACACAGAUCAGGGAAGUUAUGGUGAUUAAGAAUGAAUAAUCCAACUUACUUUUCUCAACACCCAGUCCAAUGCGUUUCAGAUUCUCGGCAAUCGUAACCACAGUGGGAAUAGCUGGUACCACUCAAACAGCGUAAGUUAUAAAAUCAAAUUCUGGACAAAAUCACAGAGACGAAGAAAUUAGAGUGUUCGAUGAAAGUUACCCAUUCCAAGAGCAGAGAGCUCUACGUGGUUGUGCUGCUUGAUGUGCCUCUGCAACAAAACAAAAACAAACGCUUACAACGUUUAACAAGAACACGAUAUUGCAGGAGAUGUUUAACAAGAACUCCGAAUGAUUAACAAUCAUACACACAAAACGCCAAAAUGAUACUACUCGGAAUCGCAGAGCAUCAAGCGAAAAUAGCUUAACAUAACGAAUUUCAAGUCCAUAUUAUCAAGAAUUGGGAAGGAAGAUAGAAGUUUCUACCGAAUCCCUAGAUUUCCUCUGUUUCCAUCAAGAAAUUAGAUGAGAGUUGCGCUGUUUUUACCUUGGCGAGAUUGAGAUAGAAGACGAAGGGGUUCUUGCUGUUGGACACUUUAAUCGGAUGCUCCCUCCUCUUGUUUGCCUUCUUCUUCUCCUGACUUUCUCCAGCGACAUCAGCAGAAACAGUUGGAACGACUUCGUCAGUCUUGACGAUUGAUGGAUCGCCGGAGACCUCUUGGACUGUCGCGGCGGCAGCGGCGGGGGAGAUGAGCGUCAUGCCUCCGUUAUUGGCCUCGUACUCCGUGGCGCCACCAUGAAUCUGACUAUCGGAAUCCUGCUGUGGAAGAAUAACCGCCAGACCUUCCAUUGAAGCGAGUUUUCUGAUCUCUGAUCUUGAAGAUGUUGAAAGGGCGGGAAAUUUUGUUUAGAACUGUGAAAAAGGUAUAGAUGUUGAGUGGUGGUUGAUGAAAACGAACUGUGAAAUGUGAACAGAAGAAUAGCGGGAGAAGGGCGACUCUGUUUUUAUUUGCAGUCCCUCCAAUUGAAGAUCGAAACGUGUAGAGAUGGGAUUGGUUUGGGCAAGAAGAUAUCUUCUUGGCGGUUAUCGUCGAACGGUUAAGCAGUCGAUCGAAGGACGUAUUUGCCCCUCGUUUCUUGAUUCUGUUACUUGCACAGUGCGUGGGCUGAAUCGAGAUCGAGAGUAAAGCUACGGCCCACGAUCUUGCAGCCCACGUUCUCUAGCAGUAUUUAGCUUCCAAGACUCUGUCCUAUAACUUGUCCAGCUGCUUCAGGGCUUGCCAGCUAAGUUUGGACCGCAUUGCUAAGUAGGAUUCUGAGACUUCGCCCCGUGAGGAAAUGGUAGCGUGCAGGCAGAUAGCUAGAUAUAGUAAGAGACGAACUCUUGGGAGUAGGAUUAGGAAAGGUUUCGAAAUUCUAGAUUUUAAGAUUUGUUAAUUUAGAUUUAUUGUUAAGGAUUAAAAUUUGAAAUACGAUCUAGAAUAUUUUAUUUUAUAAUAUAGUGUUUUGGGGUUAAAAUUUGAUAUUUAGCAUGGUGUUUACGUUUAAUUGUAACAUGUAAUAUGGGUAACUAAGCGCUCAUUGUCAUUCUUUUAUAACUAGGUAGUGUAUCGAUUGAAAUGACAACAUUGUUUGCUAGCUAUAUAUGUUAUUGCUUGGUGAGCUGGUUUUCAUAAUUUAGGAGUCAACUUAAGAAUAAGCACGAUAUGAAAUAACUGAUGAUUCGGUAAUUCUUUUAUGUUUCCAAAGUGAUUUUAUAGAAGAAGAAAAAAUAUUGAAUUGUUGUCGAGUACAUCAUAAAGUAAAGGAGUGCUGUUUCCCAAAUAAACUAUCAGCACCAUGCAUGAAGUUUGGUAUUGUUCAUUCGUGUUGGCUAUAUAUAAUAAUAAUAAUAAUAACAAUAAUAUAUAAACGUACCUAAUAUAGGUCGAUUAUUCCUUCUUCUGGAACAUUAAAAUUGACGUUUUAUUCCUUGAUGCAUGGCCAUUCAACAACACUUAAGCCAGGAAUGUUAAUCCAAAACGAACUAGCUAGUCAACUACUACACCACCAACAACAACAAUAAGAAGAAGAAGAAGAAGAAGGGGGCAAAUUGCAAAUGAUUGGCACGCGUAAUCCGACAAGAAGGAACUUGUGAAUUUGAUAUCGAAGCUUCUCUUUUAAUUAAUUAUUAUGUCCUUACCAUAAAUAAAUAAAUUAUACUAUAUGAAGGGAACAGACAUGAAAUAAUGUUUCCUACGGGGUUUAUUGUCAAAUCCCAAUAGUUAUGCGACUUAGAUGAGCUAUCUCUUGCAAGAUUGAUGAAGAAAUGAUGUGUGUGAAUGGAUAACCUUUUAGAAAUUAAGGAAUAAAUAAAAUGGAUCUUCAGUGAUUUUGAUGGAAAAGUAAAAGGUGGCCCUCUGCCCUUUCGGCUACUCACGUCAUUUUUCCUUUACAUAUGGAAUAGCUUCAUUUCAGUUCCUUACGUAUACAAACGUGAAUGUUCUUCUUGUUUUCGGUAAUAACAUUGGAGUUUGAAUUUAACAUUUCGUCCAAAUUGUUGUUAAUUUUGUCGAUAUGGCAGAACCAAUUAGCAAGAUCAGUCAUGUGACACUGUACCACUCAAAUUUCGGUUCAAUACUUAAACCGAACGAACCGUUGCCCAAAUCCGGGCCACCCAAAAUAAAUCACAUUGGCUGACUUUUCGUAUCCCUAGUUCAAUUCGAGGAAUAAGAUAUCCCUAACUAUCCAUCUCUCCUUUACUUCCAAUGCAAAUGACAAGAACAAAAAGGUAGGGUUUCACACCAUUGCUUUGAUUCCAUAGCUCUGUUCUCAAGCUUUCUGUGAUUCGAAAACUUGUUAUCUUCCUUUUAUGUAGCUGCUUCUUCGACCUAGCACUUUCCUCCCACUUCCAAGCUUUUUUUUCUUCCUCGACUAAAACUGCAGUCAAUUUAUCUUAUAUGCACUGGACCAGUGCAGGGACUUAUUAAUGUGAUGAAUGCUAUGUUCCCUAAUGUGGAACAUAGGUAUUGUGUUCGUCAUCUUUACGUGAAUUUCAGUUCAAAGUUCACCCGUUCAGAGCGAUUGAAAAGUUUAUUCUGGGGAGCUGCCACUGCUACAUAUGAAGCUGAGUUUAACCGUUGGAUGGCUGGAUUGGAGCAGCAAGGGGCGGCAUAUAAUCUUGUAAUAUUAUAUAGACUAGCACUCUAUACUGUUUAGAAAGGAGAAAAAGAUGGAAUAUUUAGUGGGAGGUGGAGAUCAAGAAUGGAAUGGGGAAGGUAUGGGUCAUAAAAUGAAUAAACAAUUAAGAAUGAGGGAGAGGGGAGGUUGUUAAGGCUUAAUCAAUUAGGGUUAAGAAGGAUAAUCAAUCAGAGAUGUGGGCCAUCCGUCAUUUAGCUUAAACAAUUAGAUUAAUUUGGAUGGUAUGUCUCUUCUCUCUCUCUCUCUCUCUCUCUCUCUCUCUCUCUCUCUCUCUCAACAAGAUCAAUGCUUUGUCUUGAAGAUUAAUAUAUAUAUAAUAUUAUACACAAUUUGGACUCUGCCUUUUUACUGUUUGAACUCUCUCCUCUUGUCAUUUCCGUUGAGAAGGAGAUGGUCAACAUUUGGGAUAGCUAGCGUGUUCUAACAACAUAUUUAAAGCGUUAGUAUCUCCGAGCGAGAUUCAUGAGUUGAUGUAGGUAACGAUGUGGGUGGUUUGAGUUUAUUCAUGUUUAUAAAGAAUGCAAUUACGCAAUAGAGUACCUUAUUAUGUUGAGCACGAUAUGUCAUUAAAUGUGAUAUAUUUAGUGUUUUUGAGAACAUGUUGAUUUUGAAUAAAUGUUAAUCACGCUCUAUCAAAAAAAGCAUUAGUAUGCCCACAGGAUUUUGAAACUGAUUUUUUUUAUAUUUUCACAAGAAGUUAAUUUUUAUUAUGAUUACUAUAUAUAUUACCCUAGUCCAAGUAUGUUUUAAAAAUUUAAAAAAAAAAAAAACUAAAUUGAGAAAGAAACAGCAUAAUAUAUACACAAAUAACAAGUGCUUAAAACUAUUGAGAGUUUGGCUUGAUUGGAAUAAUGGGGUUUAUAUGUAUAAAAAGUAAGUAGCUGGUUAGUGCACGAAUCCUACUGUGAGAGUCUUGUUUGGUUUCGGAAUUAGGCGUAUACGUGUAGUUAAUAAAGAGGAAAUAUGGUAGGAAAUAGGGAAAUUGAUUUUGAUAAUCUAUACCAGAAAUCAACAUAUAUACAAGAUAUAGAGUUGGUAUAGGAGCACCAACUUUGUGAAUAUGAGUGGGUUUGGUUGGGAGUUUGAUAUGGGGAAUGCAGACAAAGGACGGAGGUGGUUUGAAGAACAAAAUUAUGUGGCAGUGGCUUUGUACGUAAUUGGGUUACAAGAUUCUCCCACGAAUUAAGGAUAUUAUAAACAACUUCUGCGUAAUUAAUCUAUUAAAUUUGUGCGUGGAGUUGGUGGAAUGCUAAUCAUAAUUCUGGCGUGUUGGCGACUUUACUGAGGUAGAAAACAAGUUGACAACCCACUUUUCUUAUGAAAAUGUUCUUUUGUUCAAAGUAGAUUAAAAUUAUUGGUGAAUAUAAAAUAGAAAAUAUAAAAAUAAAUAUAUGUUUAUUUUUUGAAAGUAUAUUGAAUUUAAAUUUAAAAUUUGGGCCUGCUUCGCCACCACAAUCAUCCACCGGAACUUCCGCCGCCGUUCGCCGGCAACCUCCGCCGCUGGGCGCCGGGCUGUUGUGAAAGUUUUUUAUUUUGCUAUUUUAUAAAAAUAUUGGAUAUUAUUAGAUGAAGAAAUGUGUGUAUUGUAUUUGAAAUACACACAAACUUAGCAUCCAAACACAUGAUUUCAAUUUGAAAAUAAUUUCAAAUUCAUGCAUUUUAAAUGCAUUAAUUUUAAAUUCCAAAUGCAAAUACACCUAUUCAAACCCACCCUUACUUAAUUACGAAGACUAAGAAAGUUUAUAAGUAGAGCUAUUAUUUGGGUACUCCGGAAUACUUCUUAUGUGGUUGAUAUGAGCAUCAAUGACACAGUGUGUAAGUGACAACCACAUAGAAGAGUAUUUGUCUUCGGGGUGGCAAGUCACAAGGGGAUUCACAAGAUUAUAUUUAAAAUAAAUAUAGAAUAUUAUUGGGCUAAAAUUAAAAAUAUAUCAAAUUANNNNNNNNNNNNNNNNNNNNNNNNNNNNNNNNNNNNNNNNNNAUAAGAAAAAAUUAACUAAAAAAAAAAAAAACAUAUAUAACAGAUGGUCGUGGGCUGAGGCAGUCAUCCCACAUCUAUCCCUUUCGCCGUUGUUUCACCCGUAUAUGCCAUGUUUUAAAAUUCUUUUACUAUAUAAUUGUAUUUAAUAUUCUACUCACUACAUAUCUUGAACGUAUAUGUGUGUUUAUGAACAACAAACAUAUGAGUCAAUCUGCUAUUACUCAUGACUCAAAUUGAUUAAAGAAAAUAGAACUUACAAAGGAUUAAAUGCACAUACCCGAAUGUCAUAACUCAAUUAGUGUUGCAAUAAACAUAUAAAUGUAUCGAAUUUAAAUAUUAGUUUUGACUAUCCUUCUUCGUUACAUCAUUGUCUUGGACUCAUAAUUCAUAAUUCAAAUAAUAAUUUUUCAAUAUGUUUCAGUAAUCAUGUAAAACCAUUUGAAUUGUGGUCACCUUGAAUUGAUAAUAAUUAUUUAUAAGUUGAAAAGUAAAUAUUUGUGGGGUCUCAACACUUUUUAUAUGCUAUAAUCCACCUGCCCAGCAUGUCGACACAGGAUCUUCAUUUUUGAAUGAAAUAAAGAACAAAAAGCAUCCAUUUCUUUAACUAUUACAGUAUUUCAAUAUUCAAAUUUCAGACAUAACGCCGUGAAGAAACGGCGUCAACACCGACGGACAUCAGUAGUAUAAAAACCAAGUAACAGAAAGAAACAAACACCCCAGCCAAAGCAAAGCAAUUAGAGACCGGGAGAGAAGAAGAAGAGAGAAUAUACGGAUAGCUCCAUCUGAAACUGCCAACAGAUUACAGAUCAGACCAAAAACUGUGAGUAUUCUACGUAAUCCGCCAUUCUUCCAACUCUCAAUCCCUUCCUUCUGCGUCCUUCCUUCAAUGUAGCUUCAAUUUCGAUCCGUUCUCUAUCACCAACUCUUGACUGUUUGUUUGCUUAUGCAUAUCGCUGAUCUCAAUGCUAUGGCCGGUGGAAUUUUUUUCGUUUCUUUUCUUGGCUGUAAUUUUGACGCGGAAUGAUGUCCGUUUUUGGAGCUUAGUUUAUUGAUUGGUUGCGCAGAAAAUGUUGGAUGGAAAUUGACGAGAGUCGCUAGCUCUUCUUUUUCUUGUCCUGCCAUUGCUUAAAAAUGCUUGCCUUUCGAUUAUUUUUUUAUGAAUUUGUGUUUCUUUACAUGGUGAGCGGGGGCUUUCUGUGUGGUUUCGAGAGCUCUAGCUGGUUGUGAAUAUCUGGUAUUGAGAAGCCAAAGACGGAAAUUGUAUGUUACCGCUUGAAAACUGAUUUCUUUCGUUGUUAAAAGGAUUUCAAAAAGAGGAAAUUAAACAAUUGUUAGUUUGUGUAUGAACACUUCUUAGUACGAAGAACUAGAAAUGGGAAAGCGAUGAAGCUAGUUCUUCACUUCACCAUCCUGACUAUCUGAGUUGCUGUUUGGGAUUUUUCAUUUAUAUGGUCACCCUCUUGUCUUUAAGUAGGCUUCAAUUCAUCCCUUUUUCAAGAAAGCCGGUUAGUUUGCUGCUUCCAUUAAUUUAACGACAAACAAUGAUGAUCUUGUGUCAUGCUUUCAAGUAAUUAGAUAUAUUGAUUCUUUAUUAUUUGUUUUAAUCCAUUAUUGUGUACGGACCUUUUGUUUCCUCUGAUUACUCCGUUAUCUCCUGAUGAAGCAACAUUUUUCUGUUGUCAAGUGCUAGUUGUAUGAUUUGUUUUUUGUUGGACUGGCUACUCAUUGCAUGUGUAUAUUUUCUGGGGCCGAGUUCCAGCAGAUCAAUAUUGAAAAUAUCUAUCAUAGGUAAGGUUAUUUAGAUAUUAAAACCUGUUUUCAUUUCAAUAUACGAUUUUGAAAUUAGCCUGCUACAUAACCAAAGACAUCGACAUAUGAGCCAUGUGGACAAUCUGUUGAAACUUAACAUUUGUGAUUAACCUGGGUCGAUGAUUGAAAAAAUAGCACAGGGACAGUGUUGAGGUGUUCAAUGGGAGGACAUGAAACAAAUUUGAAAAUCAAACAUAAUUUCUGAUGUUCUCUUGUUGGUUUUUGUAGGCAAUGAGGAUAGACAUUAUGGAAAUCAGCCUGGACAAGCAGCAUGAUUGUGAAAUUGCUCACCUGAAUGGAACUCCCCAUGAUCUAGAUCAUCCUUCUAUCCCCAAUCAUGACGUAGCACUUGAUUCCUACGAGGGAGUCAGUGUGGACUCUGAACAACAGAGUGAUGAAGGGAGCACUGAGUCAAAGGACUAUGAAGUGAAAGAAUGCACAACUGAAACUAUGAUUGGGAGUACUGAAAUUUCCAUUGCUUACCAAAGUAAGGAGGAUCAGUCUGCAGCAAAUUCAAACUUUGAGGCUGGUUUGGAGGAGAAAUUCAAAUCAGAAACCAAGGCAUCAAGGGAUGAGAACAAGUCACAUAGUUCACCUAAGAAACUUGCAAGCAAGUCUGGAGUUGCUCGAGCGAAGUACACCGUUCCUAGACCAUUUGCCCUAGCUACUGAAAAGCGUGCAUCAUCCGGACCUCGUCCUUCUGCAACAGGCGCUAAAGCUGUUGUGAAUAAACAAUCUAAAGGAAACAGAGUGCUCCAACCAAAUACGUUAAAACAGAAUCAGGUAGUUUUUGCAAGAAUAUAAUAAUUAUCUUCCAGAUUCUGCAGUUUCCAGAGUUUAGAAUUCAAAUGUCACAUAUGCUUACAACAUUGAUUUUAGGACAUUGACGUCAACUUGAAAGUGUUAGGUGCUGUACAUGAUACAUCUAGCAUAACCUGUUGGUAUCAUUUGAUCAAAGUUGAUCGUGAUGUAUUGCUCUGUGUUGAAAUGCAGCCUCUUUCAGUAGCAAGAAGGCCACUGCAACCGAACAACAAGAAGCAUCCUGGUGAAGAAGAUUCUUGUUCUGUCACUUCCUUGUAUCCUUCCUGCUACCAGCAAUUUAUUUUUUCAUUGAUUCUCUACUUAUCCACUACUCAGUCUUUUGGGCCCUAUAUAGCUCAUUUACUGUUCUCGGGUUGAUGUUAAACCUUGACUAUCUUCAGCACAGGAACUUCUGUACAGAAAACGAAGACAAAAUCAGUUAUUGCAUCACCUCCGACAUUCAGAUGCACUCAACGAGCCGAGAAGCGCAAGGAGGUAUACCGUUAUGAUAACAAUCACUAUGCGACUUAGACCUAUGAGGCUUGAUGUUGGAUCCAAUGUCUACUCUAUGAUUUGCUGCAAAUGAUCUGAUCGAUCUUUGUUGUGUUUCUAUGAUUUAGUUUUACUCAAAAUUAGAGGAAAAACAUCAAGCUCUGGAGUCUGAGAAGACCCAAAAUGAAGCCAGGACAAAGGUGAAGCAUUUUAUUGAUUCUGUCAUGUUCAAGCUCAUCUAAUAAUUUGGAUUUGAUGGCUGAGUCUCAAACUUUAUGGUUCUGAUUUACUCUGUGUGUCAACUUGUUUUUUUGUCUCCGGAACUUAAAGGAAGAAAUGGAGGCAGCUAUCAAGCAAUUGAGAAAGAGUUUAACGUUCAAGGCCAACCCAAUGCCAAGUUUCUACCAUGAGGGUCCACCACCAAAGAUCGAGCUUAAAAAGGUACCACAUAAAUUCUGGAGUUUUCUGUUGUCAAUGACUCAAUGUCAGAUGUUAUGUUAGCGCACUUUGUAGAAACAUUAUAGUUUUCAAAACUUGCCAUUUUGAACAAUAGGUGGCACCAACUCGUGCAAAAUCACCAAAGUUGGGUAGAAAUAAGAGCACUGGUGUUGAGACAAAGACUCCAUCCCAGACCAAAGCAGUUCCCAAUCAGGAAAGUCAUCUAGGCCGUUCCGAAGAAGGCGAAGACAAUCCUCUGGAAGAACCAAGUCGAGCUAUUCCAUUGGAGGCGAAUCGAAACAACAUGGCAAUCGUCAUUUGAGUCAUAAUCUUGCAGAUGAGUAAUUAAUUUAUGAAGCAACUGGUGUCGUCUGUUAUCUAAUGUUAAAGUUUGACUGUUAAUAUAUUCGUUUGUACCUCCAGGUUUGUCAUCUAAUGUUAUCUUGUGUAAUUUAUUUCUGAUGAAGUGUAAAUCUGUUGUUAAGUUAAGACGUUGUCUCUGUACGGAAAGCAACUUUGUUCUUGAAAUAAACUUCAUGUUCAGACUGAUUGGAGGCCUGUUUAUCUAUGCUUUAUUUUGGUGGAAAUUAAUGGUGUUGCUUGAAUCUUAAAUCCUGGUGUUUUACACGAUAAUAGUAACAAGUGUGUCAUCAUUAAAAGCAAAAGAGAUUGAUGAAAGAUUGCAAAUUGGCCGCUCCAAAUGGCUUAAAAGCACCUGGCGCUGUUUUAAGUGGGGCUUUUGUUUUACUGUUGCGUAAAGGACUUGUUGAUUUUACAGGCUUGCCCCAUUUUUCUCAGGUAAUUGUUAUUAUUAGUCCCUUUCGUAUUGAGAUUGAGAUGAACGAUGUUAGACAUGUGAUCAUACUUGACCAAAACUUGAUACCUAUCUGUCGAUUGGAUAGCUAAGUGAUGGUGUUCGGUUUACGAUCAGAAAGUUAAUAUUCCAAAAUUGAUUGUAAUUUUGAAUUUGUAUAAUAACCAAAUUAAAUAGUCUUCGCAUAACAAAUUCGUACUGUACUCAUACUAAUAAUCUGAGCAAACUACAAUUGUAAGAUCAACACUCAGAAGCAAAAUCACCAUGUAACUAGAAUAAUUUAGCUGGUGUCGAGCAUAUCCUAGAGGUGCAAAUUUUGGGAAGCCGCCUACGUACUAGGUAUGAAUUAGAAAACAUGGAUAGCUUAUUCAUUUGAAAUCGAUCCGGUACUGUAACAUCUGAACCGUAUUACAAGAUUUUGAGCUUCCGCGACAACUAUAUAUCACGGAAAAUGUCUGAAAUUAAAAGUUUUCACACCCUCAGAAAGAAGAAAUUCUGGGAAGCCUCCUACACGAAAUUUAGAUAUCUUUUCUCUUAUAUAGCAUGGCAGUUCUUAUUAUAUUGCGUGCUUCUGCUGUCUGUGAAACAAAACUAAAAGAUUACACCAAACGAACACAGACAGUGAAAUUCUUUUCCACCCGUAUUGAUUUAUCUGCUUCGUUGGUUUUGUUUAUGAAUGAAUGACACGCUUACUUUGUCACGUAUAUAAAAGGGCCCAUCUUAUGAAAAGAAACCAAAAAAAGAAGAAUGCAUGGGGAUAUCAAAAUCCAACAGUCUUCUCUUGCCCCCUCCAUUUCUCUCUCAUUCAUCUCUAUUUCUUUCUGUGUCACACACUCUGUUUUCCUCUGUUUCUGGGCAGCGCAGAAACCGAAACCGUACAGUAGGAUGUUAGAGUUGAGGGGAAUGCUGUCUGGUUCGAGACCAUUCAUUCAUUCAUCUUUCCAGAUAUGAACGACCUCGGACCAGGCUUCAUUCCCCCCAACUUCCAACAUUUCACAGCUCUCUGUUUUUCUGUUAGGAGGAACAAUGUUCGAGAAUUUCCAAUGAUUGAUUGUUGGGCUGCCACAAUUCAGAUUGUUUUGUCUUUUUCGUUGCAGGUACAUCUCUGGUAGAUUCUGGAUACCCUUUUCGUAAUUUUCUUUCAAUAUAUUUGGAGAGCUUUGCAGGGGGUAGCCGACAAAGUGACAUCUUGAUGAUGGUAUAUUGGCCAACAAGAGCAACUGCGUUGAAAUCGGCCAUGGAAGAUCUCCUUAGGGACAAAAAAUGCAGGCAUUGGUUGAUCAUCACCAAAUCUGCGGAGAUUGUGAAGUAGGAAGAAAGACAGUAGGUAAGUGUUUGGUUUGGUUUGUAGUGUUGGUGUGAAAAACUGACUGUAAAGCAAAGAAAUUAUGAAAAGGAAAGAUAGAAAGUGAAAGGUGGAGAGAGUCUGUGUCUGUCUGUGGUGGUUCAUUUCUCUCUUUGCCAAUAUUUGGACUUUGCUUGCAGUGAGCUGCAAAGAAUAUUGAUUCUUCACUUGUGUUCAUCUUCUCACCUCAAUUUCUCAUGACUGAUGAUUAAGAUGUUACCCUCUUAAAUUAAAAAUUAUCAGUAUAUAGAGUACUAUAGUAUAACUUAACUGAUAUGAUCUUGUCACAUCAUACACACACUAUAUGUUAGACAACAUGAUUAGCACUCCACACUGAUAGAAUCCAAAUAUCAACCAUUCCAAAAGGGUGACUUUGAAUUGAAUUUUCUUCGGUCACUUUGUGUUAGGGAAGACAUGGUAGGUAUUCUAACCAAACCUCUGCACUAAAUUGAAGACCAAAUGGGGUCAGAUUUUCAUUUAUUCAAUUUGGUUGUGUGGGUCUGCUCUCUGCUGCUACUGGUUUUGCCUCUUUCUACUCCAUGUGGGUAAUGUUUUGAUCAAUUAAACAUCUAAAUUAAUCAACUCUAUGUUAACUACCUAAUACAGCUCCAGUAUUAGUCAGAGAGUGUGAUGCCUUGCCAUUGUAGCAGCCUCAUCCCCAUGUGGCUUUCAAUAUCAUCAUCAUCAGCAUUCAAUUUACUAGAGCCCCACUGAUCUCCCUCACUGCCUCUCCUCAUACCCUAUAGCUACAACAACUAACAGAUCAUCACAUAAUGCUAUUGGAAAUGAAAGUUAGCUGUUACCAAACUCCCUACCAAUACAAACUGAGAAACAAUUGGCUUGAAUGACAGGCUUGGUCGCGCCAUCGAAUCCAGUCCAUCAUUUCGAGCUUAAGAUGAUCUCAUUUGAUGCAAACAGAGAAAAUUGUUAACGAUCGAGAAGGAAGACGAAGAACAAUCACACAAGACACGAUUUACGUGAUAUCCUCAACAAGAUCGUCGAGACUAAUCCACUGCACAACGGCAAAGAUAUCUUAUUCAGAGAGACUGUCACGAAUACAGUCAAAUACAAUCGAUAGCCUUAUAAGGUGUAUCGGCCUAGUAUAUAUACUCGUAAAGACAACCAGAGGACGACGAGAACUACAUAAUAAACCCACAACUCGAGUUGGGCCUUAAGGCCCAUUCGACAUAUCUGCUAACACCCUCUAAAAUUGAUGGUCAUCUCGACACAUCAAUUUGCUAGCAAAAAACCAGUGACGACCAGUAACAACCGACUUGGUUUCUGACUUGUUUACUGUUGGCAUGAGAAGGUGGAACAUUCCCCUCAAAUUCAUCCUGAGGGGUGGCGCGCUGGUCGAGUUCGAGCAUUUGAUGAAGCGGCUGGUCGAUGCUCCAAAAGAUAUCAUAACUGCGGGGCCGGAUACCAUCAUAUGGCCACUGGAAACCAACUCCAACUUCUCGAUCAAAUCUCUCAAAAAUUCCUUGACUUAUGAGAGACUUCUAGGUGACCUCUCCUUCCCUUUUUCUACAAUCUAGGCUAAGGGCAUUCCUUCCAAGGUUCAAAGUUUCAGCGGGAGGGUUUAUCAUAAGAAGAUCGCAACUCUCGACAAUCUCCAAAGGCGGGGAUUCCAAUUAUCAAAUUGGUGUGUUUUGUGCAAAGCGCACGAGGAAUCGGUGGAUCAUCUAUUCUUUGCGUGUGCCUUUUCCCUUGCAGUUUGGAGAAGAACCACUAUGAAACUUUCCAUCCACGGACCGAUGCUUCUUCAUAUCGACGAGGUUAUCUCUUCGUGGACAGGUUUGAACUGCAUACUCUCUUUCAAAGAUGCAAUGAAAUUGGUCUUGCAAUGCUGCUAUGUGGUUCUUUUGGCUCGAAAGGAAAGAGAGGAUUUUUAACGACGAUGAGAAAAAUGUUGAUUCAUUGUUUAAAAGAAUCAUGGUGAAUAGUGGACAGUGGGCGCAUGCGACGGGAUUCUUCUCUCCCAAUAGACUACGACAGUGGACUUGUUCAAUGUAUAAUUUAUCUUUUGAAAAAAUAUACAUCCAAACGAAUUCUCAAUAGUUUUUCUUCGACUUUGAAUCAUCCAAACGAACUUUACAGAUAGCCAGAUAGGGAUACCCGCAGAUUAAAAAUGGGUAUGAAGGCCCAUGAUUCGAAGCCCGCUUGUUUAAAUCCAAUUAAAGUGAGAAAUGCCAAAACAAUGAAGGCCCAUAAGUCAAAGCCCAUUAAAUUUAUGUGCACUAGUAAUAGACUAAUAGUGAGAACAGUGAGCUCAGUAUUUUUGUUUUAAUCUUAGAGAGCAAAUGAAUGAGAAUAGAUAUUAACCCUCCAAAUAAUAAAACCAAAAGUAUGAUAAUAGAAAUGUAGAGUUCACCCAAUUACUGAAAUUAACUGUUGAAAUUACCAAUUAUCCCUCUAUUGCAGUUGAUAGGUCUAGGAAGAAGAUUCAUUUUUCUAACCGAUUGAUGCAAUAGACAAGAGAUGGAGUUAUUGAUAAGAAUAGUACUUUGCGAGUUUGCCAAUUUGCGUAAUAAGGACAAAAAGGAUAUAUGUUAUAAGUGGAUAUUCAAACGAAGAUGAAAGUAUUCCACCCACUCGUAGGAACGAAUUUAGAAUGAAAAAUAACAAGUUUGUUAAAUUUAAAAUAAAAAAAAGCAACCAUAUGAUAAAGAAAAACAACGGCAACGAAGUAGCAUACAUUUUGAAAUGAAACCUCAUAUGUGGAUACUUGUACCAGUAUCGUGUCCCAUUUGGCACCACUCCACUGCAGUGAAGAAAAUAGCUCUGCAGCGAGCAGUCUCUUCAUCUGACUGACGGAACCUUUCCAUAAAUGUAAAUUGUAAUUUCCAAAUCGGGUUGUGUGGUGUACGAUUGGUGGCUGCUCAGCUUCCUCCAUCGAGAGGAUGGUGGUGGUUGGGUGUCCACAUACACACGACUACAAAUUAAUACAGUACUGUCAAAUGAACUUAAAAAGACUCUACUGACCCACCCACCAUCUCAAUACUCGUAACUAUUACUUGUAAUUGUACUUACUUGGAAUUUGGAUCCUCAACCUGAUUUCGACACAUUGGUUGCAGCAAGUCAGCAACAGCUAUCAAUACCACUGGUCCACACGUAGGUUUCUCCACAUCCAGCCAUCCAUUCUUCUCCAUUAAUAAAUGAAACGAAAGGUUCUAUUUUUCCAUCCCUUUCUUCUCUUCUACCACCACCCCCACCAAAUUCAUUCUCCAAGGAAUCAGCUGGUUAACCCAUCAAGCUAAUACAUAUCAACACCAUCCAUACCACAUCACAAGACAACCAAUAUUACAGGAAACUGAAAUGAUGUCUAAAGUCUGUUUUACCCGUCCAAAGUUCAACUUGUAGCUGGAAUGAAUUCCUCAAUCGAGCAAUUACUACAUCCAAUCCAACUUUUUGGAAUAGCAUACUCCAUAGACAUAAAUUCGAUAUACAAAUUUAGUGGGAGGACCACUAACUGCAGUAGCUGUAGUGUUGUGUUGACUCACCCAAUAAUAAAACACCACAAGCUUAAUUGCAACUGUUUUUAGGUCAAAAUUGAACAAAGUGUCAUCACCCCCACAACACAACACAACACAAGCCACAAGACUUUUCUGUUAAAAUAAUCACAACUCAAAUCUCGUGCCACUUAAUAAUAAUAAUAAUACAAUAUUAAGGAUGCGAUGCUAAGUUAAACCCCAUCCCCAACAUUAAAUAAUAAUAAUAAUAAUAAUAUGGAACUUGUUCAUAUUCAGUGUCCCAUGCAUGAACAAUGAAGAUGGAGAUGAUGUCAUGUUUAUCAAAUUCAACAAUGUGCCACUGUCUGUCUCAAAACAAUACAACGUCCAAAUUACUAAUUUGAUUUUUUCUCUUCGCCCGACAAAUCCAAAUGAAGAUUGAAAUCAGCAGUUGAGAUUUUAAAUUUAUUUAUUUUCACAGCAGCAGCAGCAGCAUCAGGUUGGGGAAAAGCAGCAAUCACUCCUCUGGGAUUACUGUCAGAUAUCUAAAUGGCCGACGUGGCCUUUCCUUCACCUUUCACUUUUUCUUUUCAUUUUUUCGUAUUGUAGAAUCUCUCCUUUUUCCGCUCUGUUGUCUUUUCGGCUUCGGUGUUCACUUGCUCGCCGCAACCCCCGCAUGCCACUCCCCCUCCUCCAUACCCAUAUUUUCUUUCUUCCUUGCAAACUGAAACUCCUAACAAAACCUCCCUUUCCUUGUUUAAUUCUCCAUUGCACUGUCCUCCUCUUUUGCUCUUGUCGAAUUCUGAGCCUGUUUUGGCGUUAUAGAGUGAGUAAUUUGUGGAUGAAUGAAAGAAAGAACUCAACUUUCUGGGAGGUCAAGGGAUUAUAGGUAAGUGGGUCUAUCCUUUCUAUUGGGUAAAUUCCUCAAUUCUGGUAAAGUUGAAAGCUUUUAGUAUUAUAUCUUGUUGGUGUGUGGAAAUGGUGUUUCUUUGUUUGUGAUGCACCACCUAUAAUUCCUUUCUUCUUGAUGCCAUUUUACUUCACGUGGGGUGGGUUGUUGCUUUCUCCUUUAAUUUACAACGAUUGAUCUGUCUGUUUUGGUUUUAACUUUUGAUGAUUAGCAGCUCUUUGAUUUACUUACAAAAUUGUGGAGUUGCUUUCCAUUUACCUCAAUCGUCAUCUAUGUAACUGUUGGAAGCAAAUAGCUAUAAUAUUCUUAUCAGUGCGAGACUAGCACAUUUUCUUCGACCUUGUUUCAGUUUUGGCUAUAGACAAUAGGUAUAAUGACUAGGUAGAAACCAUUGCCUAAAGCUCUUUGAGCGGUUGUUUCCAUCCCCACUUCCUUAUCUAUUUGCUUCUUUCACUUAGAAGAUCAAGGUUCAUUCCUAAACUGAUUUCCAGAUAGAAGGGCGCAAUUCAAUUUGGAUGUUUUACUAGACUUCAAAUGUGCAGUCUUUUAUGUGUGUGGAUGAUGUUCAUGGGCUGGAAUGCUGUUUGUAAUGAUAGCUUUCCAUCAAAUGGAACUUCUCCUGAUUUCAAAAUCGUCUAUGUGGUUAUCUUCUACUAAUUCAUUCUAGUUUUAAUGUAUAAUAUAAAAACCAAUCUAAACUUUCUCUCAACAACUUGAGUUAUUAAGAUGCAACAGGUCUUGACAUGGUAUUAGAGCUUUAAACGAUAGAUAUGUCUUCGUUUCGAAUUCAGGUAGCCCCCAAUCCGCGCACAUGACUAACCGAAGUUGUGCAAAUCUCAACUCUUCCGAGAGCUUCGGUUUUAACANNNNUUCUGUUUUACCAGCCGUGCUAAUGAAUAAUAUAAAAGUCAAUCUGAAAUCGCAUACUCAAAAAGUUAAAGCAUGAGGAAUAGUAUACAGUCGAAUCUUCUAAGAGUGUUUGAAUUAUUUAAAGGAGUUAUAAUUUACUCUUCUUUAGCCAUUCAUUUUUGUAGAACAACUCAGAACCUCACAUUCAUACAAUCAUAAUCUCAAGUUCAAUGUUUCUUCUAUGCUUGCAUUAGUUUUGUCUCUACUUUGUACUUGAAGGAAUAAAGGAAAGUGAAUUUACACAGUUAUGAAUUAUGAUUGUCGGACAGAAUCUAUUAACAUACCCAAAAGUGAAAAAGGGGUCACAAGCCAAUAUCCAAGCGCUAUAGCUUGCAGCUUCUUUCCACUUUUGAUAGCUAGCUUGUAAUGUAACAAAUUUAGUGAACUGGAAACAAACAUUGAACUUGAUAUUUUGAAUUUUGGAGUGGGUUCUCUUACUAUCAUCAUCGUCUUCUGCAACAUAACACAGCAGUGUUAUAUAAUGUUACAACUACUAUAUAUGUAAACAGAACCUUUUGUGUGUAGCUAUCAUGAGAAGCCUGACCUGGAAUUAACUGGCGUUUCAGGGUUCCGACUGAAAGAGAUGAACGAUGAUGAGAACAGCAUAGCAUUUAAUGAUUUUGGACUGCUUUUGAAUUACUCUAAUCGAUUUAUUCAAAGGAGAUUGAACAGCGCUGAAGCUUCAGGUGCAGGUACAAAUGCAGAUCCAACUGUUGGAAUGGCAUUAAGAGCCAGUGACCCGUUGUCUGAGCUAGUUUGGUCCCCACGGAAAGGCUUGACUGUCAAAUGUGCUGAUCGCAGCUUCUUCAGCAGAAACACAUCGAGAUCUCGAGACAAUAUUGUAAUGGGUUCAAGCAGUGACACCAAACCUUUGAAUGAAGCGGAUUCUGUCAGAAUGGAUGUUAAUCUAACAAGUGAAGUUCCUGAAAGACAUCAUCAGUUCAUAAAUAUCCCAUCAAAUGAUGUGGAAGCCAUGCCAUGUAGCGGAUCUGGCCAUGACCUGAACGCAGGUAUAAAAUUGAGAAUCUCACUGAGAUUUCUUUCUUGUCAGAUUAAUUCAUGAUCAUUGUAUGUAUGCCCACUCAUUUAUUUUCUCUGUGGACAAAGGAAGCAAAUUCUUCUAAAGAUAGGCAGUCUUAUUGCUAAUAUCUCUCUCUUAAUUGACAUCUCUCCCAUUUCUUCUGCCUAAUAGCUGAGCACAAAUCUGAUGUGGCACAGCCCAGGCAAACUUUUCAGGAACCUGUUAAGGUAGUAAGUGAUAUCGGUGGAGGAAGCACAGAAGUGGGAAAACAAGGGGAAUGCAAAGCCAGCAGCUCUAAAAUGAAGACUGCAACCUUCUCAGGAAAAGUAGGUGAAGAAGAAUCACCUUGCUCCGUGGAGAAGGAUGUUUGUGUAGUUCGUCCACUGGAAAGAUUGGAGUCGUCCGAUGAGAAUGACCCGGGAAGUUCACAGGGUCAAAGUGUUUGCGUUGAGAAAAAUAAACUUGUGGUGGCAAUAUCUACCAAGAGACAAGAGCAUCAGGUGGAUGAGAUUCCUGAAGAUGACAGGCUGGCAGUUACAGAAUCUUAUCUAAAGGGAAAAGGAGUUGGAACUUUGAGGAACAGUUAAACAAGAGAGUGAAAAGGCAUAUCCAAGACACGCCCGGUUCAUCAUCAUCAUUGCUUAAACAGGACAGCUCAUUUGUAAAUUGGAUCUCUAACAUGGUGAAUGGAUUCUUGAAAACAACUCAGCAAGAGACACAACCUUCAUUUCCACUUAUUGUUGGUAACCAAGAUCCCGCCUGUACAAAUACUGGAUUCCAGUCCAUUUUUCAGUCCUUAUACUGUCCAAAGAAGAUGGCUGGUUUUAUGGAUCCGGGUCAUCAAAGAGAAGGUAGACCGGAUAGCCAAAUGUGUGACGUUAAUGCUACUCCGAUAGCCUGUCGUCCAGUGAGUGGUAAUAUCUUCAAACCAUUUCUUCCAUCUUCAGACAAACAUGGUGAUUCUAUGCCUAGCAUCAAUGUAGUAGCUGAGAAAAACAGCUCAUUUCAAGCUAAAGAUUCACGCAGUUCAGAAAGUUACAAGCAGAGGAAUGGAACAGACUUGGACAAAGCAAGGAUUAACAUUGCUCAUAAAGUUGACCCUUUUGCAAGCACCUGGAUAACUCGCUUUACGCCGAAAUCUUUUGCUUGUCCAGCAGACCAAAGUGUGGUGGUCUCUAACAAGAGCACAGGAGAGCUUCAUGCCUGUUCCCCUGAGAGAAUGCCAGCCAAAUCUCACUUGCAAAACCUUCUUAAUUCUUCCAAAGCGCGCUCAAUAAUGGAGACAGACGAGCAAUCACAUGUAAACCCUUGUUCUACUAGCGUGGAUGCUUCAUUUAGUUUCUAUAAAGUGAAGAGCCACCUUGGCGAGACUUCCUCAAGUAAACUGAAUCCGAUCCCACCUACGGAACGACUCGCAAAUUCAGAGGCAAUGGCUUCUGUGUUUGCAAGGAGGUUGGAUGCCCUCAAACACAUCAUUCCUUCAGAUGGUGGUGAUUUGAACGAUAAAGCUCCUUCGAGUAUGAUCUGUUUCUUUUGUGGCACGAGAGGUCACCAUCUACGAGAUUGUUCGGAGAUCACAGAUUGUGAGCUUGAGGACCUCUUGACGAACAUUACUACAUAUGAAGGAAGAGAAGAGCCGCCAUGUUUCUGCAUCAGAUGCUUUCAGCUCAAUCAUUGGGCUGUUGCAUGCCCUAGAGCGCCAGGCAGGGCAAGUCUUCAAGAAGAAUGUGACACCCCUCAACUCACUGGCAUUGGUGCAGUCAAAACACAGCUGAAUUCAAGAAAGGAAGAUAGCAAAAGGUUGUUAGAUAGCAGGUCUGGCCAACAUGCAGUUUCCAGUGGGACUACAGCUUGUGGAAUGAAGAACAAGAUGUUCUAUAAGACCACCAGUACUAGUAGAAAACUCCUAGUCGCUUCUUCAAGCUCUGGGGCUACCAAAUUAAAGGGUAUUCAGAUGCAUCCCUUGAUCAAGUCCGACAUUGUAGAUGUUCCGAAAGGAAUUUGCGACAUUGUAAAAAGCCUACGUUUGUCUCGGACAGACAUACUAAGGUUAGUUAGACAACUCCACAAUUGGCGGUAUAAGGUAAGGUUUGGCAUCUCGAAUCAUGUUUGUCCAGGAAAAUUGAAUUGGGGUGAGCUGAAGAAAGUUGAGUUGAGGUUGGAGAAGUUGUGGGAGGAAAGUUGAAUACAGUGAUAUAUAAGAGAUUCUAAGUGGAAUUAUGUUUCCCAAGCAACUCAAGUGGAAAUUAAGAUUCCCUAGUAAUCUUUUAUAUCCCUUAAUUGAACUUUCCUUCUACAAGUUCUCUCAACCUCAAUUCAACUUCAUUCCACAGAUCACAAUUGAGCUUUCCUUGAAAAGAUGAUUCUAGAUGCCAAACAUUGCCUAAAUUUGUUAUUUCAUAGGAUGAUUCUUGGCUAGUAAUGCAUUUUUUUCCCCUUGACAUCAGAUGGAUGAAUUCUGGAUUGCCAAUCUCACAGCUUGAUGGUUGUUACCUUCGGCUGCGGCUAGGAAAAUGGCAAGCUGGAUUUGGGGGAAGUGGCUACCAUGUAGCUUGCAUAACAAGUAUGGCCAAAACUACACGACCCCAUAUUUUACGGUUUUGCGGUGAAACCGUAUAUUCAGUUCUAUUGUGGCCUAUUCAGGUGGAGAAGGGACGAGCGGAUCACAACCAAAGUUCAGAAGUUGUGCGAGUGGAUCACAGUCCAAUUCCAGAAGUUGUGUACCUGUAGAUGUUGGUGGCGUCAGAUGUCUAGUGGAAUCUCAGUACGUCUCCAACAAUGAUUUCCUCGAGGUAGUCAGAAACCUAAUACUUGACCAUGUACUUGUUCGAAAGUCAUGGAUCGAUGCAUCAUUGUGUUGAAAUUGUUUCUAAUCCGGGGUCUGUUUUCGGAAACGUUAAGGAUGAGCUCAUGUCAUGGUGGUCUGCAACGCUGAAGGGAAACAAGGUACCAUGUGAAGAAGACUUGAGACUGAAGCUUAAAGAUAAGCAAAGGUUGGGGCUUUGACACAUGAUAUACUUGCUUGCCUUGAGGGAUUACUUGCAGAAAUCCCCUGGCCAUGUUGUAUUUGUAGACAGAUACCAAAAAGGCUUACUUGAAUAAAAAGGCGUGUAUGAAAUGAAUAUGCUAGAACAAAGUGUAAAAUGCAUCCAAGAUAGUAUUCCCUCUGUACAUAAUGCAAAAAAGGAGAGAGAUGGAAGGUCUAAUAUGGGUACGGGGAGUGUAUAGAAUAAUACAAAUUCUGAGGUGGGGGCGGACAGACAUACGAAUCAUUCCAUUAAUUACUUUGUUACUACACAUACUAAAAAAAGAGGGGAACCCUUCUGUUUAUUUGUGUAUAUCUCUGUUUCAUGUUUAAUGGAUGUAUGGUUACAUUAGAAUUUGGUAUGUUUGUAGAGUUGAGUGUUGGUAAUUCGAGAUAGUGGAAAAGACAUGUUUAUGCACUGUAAAAUUAGCUGGAUGUGCAGUAUCUGACUGUAACAAUUAGGUUGGUUUAAUGUUGGGGAUCCAUAAUUUUCAAACAAGUGGGGGCGUUCUCCGACGCAGGAGUGAUCCACUAGCCUUUCUUUAAUCUAAAAAAAUAGCAACAUUUUACCAAUUUUUAUCAUUACAAAUGAGCAAGGCAUGAAGCAUGUGUUAUGUUGUGUGGGGUUUUGAAUUAUUACAUCUUUGGCCACUUUGUUUGGUUUGGCAUCAUUCCCUACAAUUUAACCCAGGGGUCUUCAUAUUCUUCAUGUCCUCGUUAUUUUAUGGCUUGAGUUUCUUUGCUUGUGUUAAUUAUGGUGCGUAAUUUCAGUUCACCCUUUAGAUGGAGCAAAAGGGUAGUUAGUAUACACCAAGGGGCAUUUUGAUGAAUAUAUAUAUAAUAUAUAUAUAUAUUUUUCUACUUUUUUAUAAAAAUAUUUGUUUUAAUUCUAUAUAGAAUGAUUCUUAUAUCAACAAAUUUGUGAGUACAUUUUGUCUUAAAAAAAAUUAUGAGUAUUUCUUUUGACGAGAAGUAUGUUAUGAUGAGCGUUUGCUAGAUUGUGGUGUGACUUCCAUGUGGAGGAUUUUGAAACUUGGUUACUCACCCAACAAAAGCCUUGAUUUUGGGCUUACUUGUUGGUAGCUCUGGAAAUACCAAAACAAAGUUAUUUUCCAAAUACUAUAGCUUCCCAUGAUUAGAUCUACCUACGAGUCCUUCGUUGGAUCGUCGGGGUUCGGGAGACAAUAAGAUUGAAGGUAUAGUAUCUCUUAUCUACUCGGGAAGAAGUGCUUAUUGGAUGGCCAGCGGCAACCGGGGAUGUGGUUACUAUCAAUACAAAUGGCUCUGUUAUUAUGCUAGUUAGUGAGGCAGCUGCCGGUGGAGUUAUUCGUAAUAGUCAGGGAGAGGUGCUAGCCACUUUUGCAGCUAACCUGGGGCGGUGCACCAUCACACAAGCCGAACUGCGUGGAGCCAUCUUCGGACUUCAAAUUGCUUGGGAUAAGGGCUACAAGUAAGUGAACUUGCCGCUGGAUUCUCAAUGCGUGAUUUCAGCUAUUCUUGGCGAUCCUCCCAAUGACUUUAUACAUCUCUCUUGUAUUAUGGAGGCUCAGCCACUCCUGAAGAGAGAAUCUGUUGUGCACAUUACGCAUACUUAUCGUGAAAGCAACCGCAUAACGGAUGCCUUGGCCCAUUGUUGGCACUCCCUUUCUUCUCCAUCUUCCAACUACUAUUGUCGAUUGUAUUCGCGCAAACUGCAUAAAUGUAGUUUUACCCUACUUUAUUUAUACUAAUGAUUAAACCCUAGCGUCAUAACUUUUUUAAAAAAAGGCAUCCAAUUAAACCUGAUUUAUAUUUUCAAAAUAUACACUUUACUUGGUCCAUGUGUUGUGUUAAACAAGGAGGUGUUCUUUUAUCACAUUAUUAUUGGAAGUCCACUUCCAAGGGCAAGCACUCUCUUCAUUUUUACAAAAGAGAAAAAGUUCCACUUCCAUGUCAAGAUAAGCAUUUUUAUUCAUCAAACUAACGGUUAUGAUAUUUCCAUCAAAACUUUUUUUCAUUUUUCCAUCGAAUCACUCUUUGUGACAGAAUCUGUUAUCAACGCCUGUCGGUGUUAGAUUUUUUGGGUGUUCCUAAAUACCAUCGAAUAUUGUCGUCGGAUCUUCUUCGCGCAACUACUACGUGUUUUUUCCUCAUUCCUCUCCAUUCUGGCGACACUAUUACCAUCUUCGAUUUUCCGUGGAGGGAAGAAAACAAAAAACUACAACCCUCUUUUUGCUUCAAGUAAGAAUCCUAGUUAGACUUUUGCUUCAAAAACUCUCUAGUUGUCUUUUGCAUCGAAGAAAAGUCCGCCGAAAGAUUGAAUAUUGAAUAUUAUCUGCCGAAAAGAAUUUAAGGGGCGCUGAAAUCCUAGCCAGAAAGAAAAAGCUCUCAGCUCAUCCGGGGAAAAAAUCUUUUAAUAAAAACAUUUUAUCUCUACGCAAUUCCUCUUAAUAUAUAAAAAAUACGAACGAGGAUAUCUUACAAUUCUUUCAAACACUUUUUAUCUCGUAUUUCAUACCCCAAUAAUAUAUUUGAAUGUAUCUUGAAAUCCAACAAAUAGGAUAAAAAAACAUUUUAUAAACCAGUCUGGUGGAUUGGGGUACGUAGACCAAUCAUGGCCAGUAUCAAAGAUCAUCUAAUUUUGAACCAAUAAAAUUAUACGCUUAUUUUUUAAAAUCAAAGUUUAUACCUAAUUUUUAUCAUUUUAUUUUAAAAUUAUUUUUCAACUUAAAAUCAUAUCAGAAACUCUAACCAUUCUAAUUUCAACAUAACAUAUAUAUAUAUAUACUUUUUAUUAGCCAUAACGCAAUCAAUCAUGACAAAAAUAACAGGUUUAUAUUACGACCUAAGUAGUAGUCUUUUCCAAUUUUAUAGUUACGGACAAAAAAAAAAAUUUUAAAAAAAAGAAUAUAUGAAAGAAAAUAAAAGAUAAGAAACUUGGAAGGGGGUGAGAGAAUGAAAAUAUAAAUAUACACCCACUACUCACCCGACAAUCAAAUUAUCAAAAAGUCGUUUUUAUCAUUUCUAAAAAUAAAUCUCACCAAAUUCAUUUCCGCCAACGCUCCCCCGCUCCAACGAUGACCAACGGUAAUUAAACCUCCUCCUCCGUUUGACUUUCUCUCAUUCNNNNNNNNNNNNNNNNNNNNNNNNNNNNNNNNNNNNNNNNNNNNNNNNNNNNNNNNNNNNNNNNNNNNNNNNNNNNNNNNNNNNNNNNNNNNNNNNNNNNNNNNNNNNNNNNNNNNNNNNNNNNNNNNNNNNNNNNNNNNNNNNNNNNNNNNNNNNNNNNNNNNNNNNNNNNNNNNNNNNNNNNNNNNNNNNNNNNNNNNNNNNNNNNNNNNNNNNNNNNNNNNNNNNNNNNNNNNNNNNNNNNNNNNNNNNNNNNNNNNNNNNNNNNNNNNNNNNNNNNNNNNNNNNNNNNNNNNNNNNNNNNNNNNNNNNNNNNNNNNNNNNNNNNNNNNNNNNNNNNNNNNNNNNNNNNNNNNNNNNNNNNNNNNNNNNNNNNNNNNNNNNNNNNNNNNNNNNNNNNNNNNNNNNNNNNNNNNNNNNNNNNNNNNNNNNNNNNNNNNNNNNNNNNNNNNNNNNNNNNNNNNNNNNNNNNNNNNNNNNNNNNNNNNNNNNNNNNNNNNNNNNNNNNNNNNNNNNNNNNNNNNNNNNNNNNNNNNNNNNNNNNNNNNNNNNNNNNNNNNNNNNNNNNNNNNNNNNNNNNNNNNNNNNNNNNNNNNNNNNNNNNNNNNNNNNNNNNNNNNNNNNNNNNNNNNNNNNNNNNNNNNNNNNNNNNNNNNNNNNNNNNNNNNNNNNNNNNNNNNNNNNNNNNNNNNNNNNNNNNNNNNNNNNAUGGUGGUGGAUGAUGAUGGAGCCGUUUAUGGUGAUGGCUGAUGGGGAGAUAUUUUUAAAAAUUAUUGCUAAUUUCAACUUGCAAGACUUUACUAUUAAAUACUGGUUUCCAAUUAUAUUAUAUUAUAUGGUGAAAGAAACAUGUUGUUGUCAUGUGGUCCAUGUAGACUGUAGAGCAUUACACAUUACACAACUUGUUUGUAAUUAAAAACGUUGUUAUAAUAACUUAGUAAGGUCCCAUUCAAAUCGAAUUAUUGAUGUGCAGUACGUUUUAGAGUAGUAGUCUGACAAUUAAAUUCAAUCAACAGCUGCCAAGUCGGAAGUUCCACUUUACCAGCCCAUCUUGACUUUGAUUAUCUGAAGUCAAAAUCAUAUGUGCUGUAUUUUAACAAUCAUAUUUGACAUUUAUAAUAAAAAAAAUCAUAUUUGAGUUGUCUUUUGUGGGUUACAUUGAAUAUUAUGACGACAGAGAGCGAAGGUUUGAGAGAGUGAGUAAGAGCCUGAAGGUGACGAGGGUGUUCUCAACUUUAGUUGAGGAGAUGAAAGCAAUCGGAAUAAGUAGUAGUGAUCGUCAAGCCCAUCGUAACGAUGUUAUGGUCCCCGCCGCCCACUGCGACCGGAGCCCUGUCCUUCUCUUCAUGGGCGGCGGCAUGGGUGCCGGCAAGAGCACCGUCAUCAAGGACAUCCUCAAAGAGUAAUUAAUAAUUAAUCAUCUUUACCUCAAUAUUUUUUCUGUAAAACAAAAGCUUAAUUAUGUUGUUAUUAUUAUUUUAUAAUGGGCAGGUCAUUUUGGGGUGGGGCAGCUGCAAACGCCGUCGUAGUGGAGGCAGAUGCGUUCAAGGAGUCCGAUGUUAUUUACAAAGCUCUCAACUCAAUGGGACACCACGACGACAUGCUUCCAACCUCUGAACUCGUAAGUGCUGAGCCAGAUAAAUGGUUUUUGAUUCGAUCUACAAAGCUUAUAGCAAUCUCAGUCGUAAAAAAAUCGUGUUUUAAAUCUAACAGCUGAAAAAUAUUGGGGUAAAAUUGGUAUUUCCUAUCCAUAUAAAUGUUUAUAUUAAGUAUCAAACUUAGUAUAAUAUUUGGUAUUACACCUUAUACAAAAACUAUAUAAAUGUAUAUAUACUUCAGUACGGAUUUGUAUAAAUUUAUACACAUUUGUAUGAUUCAUAUAACUCUCCAUACAAAGUUAACGACUGAUCGUACGAAAUGUUCCAAAAAUAUUUAAAAAAUUCCAAAAUUUAGAGCCUAGAACAAUGAUCACAUGAUUGGACAAUUGAUAGGGAAACUUUCUGGUGGCCGAAGAUGGUGGUCCAGUCACCAGGAUAUGGCGGUGCAGCCACCAGAUAGGUGGUCCGAUAAUCGUAGUUGACUGAGUUUUAAUCCAACAAAAAUAUUAAAAUCAAAAUGAUCAUAUUACCCCUAAUUAAUUUUGUUAUUUAAAUCAUGUGAAGAUUUAAAGGGGUAGCUUGCUCCUGAAUCAAAUCGACGUCCCUGCCUCCAAACUCGAGUGAACGCAAUGUCUAGUUUAAUUUGUUAACUUAUUAGUUAAUUAACUAAUUAUUGACUGUUGGUUAACUGCAGGUUCACCAAUCGUCAACUGAUGCGGCGUCGUCGUUACUAGUGACGGCACUUAACGAAGGGCGGGACGUGAUAAUGGACGGCACCUUGUCAUGGGAACCCUUCGUGGAGCAAACCAUCGAGAUGGCGCGUAACGUCCACAAACGCCGUUACCGCAUGGGAGUGGGCUACAAGGUGGACGAAAACGGUACUACCGUAGCAGAAAAUUACUGGGAACCAGCAGAUGAUGAGGUAAAUAAUGGAAAUAAUGGAGAAAUGGCCGGAUUAUUAUUAACAAAGAGACCCUACAGAAUCGAGAUGGUUGGUGUGGUUUGCGACGCAUAUCUAGCCGUUGCUAGAGGAAUCAGGUACCAUAACCUACUAAUUAUUUCUGCUUUAAAUUUGAUAUAGAAAUUUACUAAUUUAGCUCAGUAAUUUUUUGGCUACCAUAAAAAAAAUAAGUUAUGUAUUUUGAAUUAAGUUAUUUUAAAUAUCACAUCCAUAUAGUCAAGUAUUUGAAUAACUCGAUUGGAGUUAUUUCAAAUACCCAAGUUACGAAAUAUCAUGCUACGACUUUUAUUUUGGAUGGCAAAUGAGGUAUUUAACGACCCGUUAGUCUAAGCAAAUAAGUAGAGGAGUAAAACUUCAAACACCAUAAGCCGGAUUAUGAAAUCAUCUAAAACAUGACAUAUAAUUUAGUUCUCGAGACCAAAAAAUAAGAUAGUUGGCUGGGAACUCUCUCUAGUUCUGACACGACCAAAUACUAAGCCGAACUUAAAAUUUCCGACAAACUCAAAAAAAUUAUAAAUAUACAUCUGAAAUGAAUGAUCUAAAUCGAAAUUAGGUGAGCCGGAAGCUCCCCACCCACCCCUUAGUUCCGCCCCUGAAUUUAGCCAUUGUGGGUGACAUUAGAGUUGUAUCAUAGAGUCAUACUGAUUGGGUUUUCUUGUUUUGGAUAAUUAGGAGAGCUAUAAUAACGGGGAGGGCAGUGAGGGUAAAUGCACAGCUGAAGUCCCACAAGAGAUUCGCGGAUGCGUUCCCGAGGUACUGUCAACUUGUGGAUAAUGCCAGACUUUACUGCACAAACACCGUAGGAGGUCCCCCAAAGGUAACUUUUUUUUUUGUUGAUAAUUGAAAGUUACUGCACAUGCAAAUUAAAUAUAGUGAAAUUAUAAAAUACAUUGACGUGUGUUUUGGGAUGAAUGCAAUGCAGCUGAUAGCCAGGAAGGAUGGCGGGGAGAACACGAUGUUGAUCGAUCCGGAGCAUUUUAAAUGUUUGGGGGAUUUGGCGAGGUUGAAUCCUAAUGCAGAAUCUGUGUAUCAACUUUACGGCAAAACUAGCAUUAUUCACGGCCCCGGCUCGGGUUGGAAACAAGUUGUUUUCAACCCUUCCAGGCCCAGCUUUCAGGCAGAGCUCAAAACAGUCAUCCAACAAAUCGAAAGCUUGUCAAGAUAGAUAGCAGUAUAGUAGAAAGUUGUUUUUGUGUACUGUUUAUUCUUUCCUUUUCUGGGUUCGGCGUAGUAGUAGUUAUAUUAAGAGCAAAUGUGUUGUUGGUCCUACGUACUCCUUGUGAAGUGAUAAGGAAGUGAGAAAGGCUAUGUUUGGUGAAAGUGAUGGUAUGCAGAUAAGAUUGAAGCCUCGAAGAAUGCCUAGCAAAAGGAAAAGUCUGUGUAUAGGGCCUCGGUUGUUGAUUUGAAGUAUAUUGUAAUCAAUAGAGAAAGGACAGAUAAAAUCGCACCAAACAAACACGUAGUUCUCAAAACUUUUAUAGGAGUAAUACUAGGUAGUAGUAGAUAGGUAGUCAUCGUAGACAUUAAACAUUCUCGUUCAAAUUUUAUUUGAAGAGAUAUAGAUUAUAUAGUUAAUUCGUGUUUAAGAAAUUAAAAGUGCAUUCAUUAUGUUUAAACAUGAACAUUGUCCUACUAGAAACUAUACAACAAAACCCAGGAUCCUCUGAACCUCAAGAACAAGUACACCUCCAAAAUGAGAAAAAAACUAAAUAUACCAUAACAUAAGCGUGAAGCAUCAUAGCAUUUUAAGCACAUUAUAUGUAUAUUUUGAGUAGUUUUUAAAAUUUUAUUAUUAUUUUGUCCUCUUAGCUUAUUCUGAGGCCAAUUGAUGUUAAUUUCAAGUAUAUAUUUUUUGCAAGUAUUCCACGAUUUUAGUAUUAAAGGAGCUGACGAACAUGUAAUAUGCAUCAUGAAAUCAAGGCAUAAACGAAAGAGAAUUGAACGAACGAAAAAAAUACAAACAUGGAAACAAUCAUGUUUAUAGGGCGGAAGAUGUACUCAAUUUGUCUAAAAAAGUACAUAUUGUUGCGCUUUUUGGCAUGCUACGAGAAAAAUCACUAUCCAAAGGUUUUCAGAUCCUAAUUUGGCUAUAUAUAACUCGAUUUUUUACGAUUGAAAGCUCUUUAGUGACGACCUUUGGUGAAGAUUUUAAAGCUGAAACGCGUUAAAACCAUUUUCGAAACUCGUGGGUUUUGCAACUGAAGAUGGAGAAGAUUCAAGCUGCCGAAGUUCCUAACAAUUCUAGGUUUCUCAAAUUCCUCUUACAUUAACCCUAAUUUCUAUAUAUGGAAUUUGGUAUGCCUUUUGAUUUGUCUUCCAAGAAUAUGAAUAGCUAACUUUUUUAGUAUUUAGGUUAGAUGAACCUUAGCUAAUACAACAAGCUUUGAUGUAGGUAGGAGAUUAUGAAUCUCGAUUCAAAUUGACAUUUCAACUGUCAGUUUACACAAAUCCAUAUUUUUACCAAGACAGAGUCCAAACCAACGGUUACAGUUGCAAUCAAAAUCUGGGACUAGACGAACCCCCAUUGACUAAAUAUAUUCAACCAAGAUUGACCAUUGUAGUCACUUCUGUUGGCAGCUAGCUUUCCAAGACAAAGCACCCGGGAAUACCAGAAACAAUCUUCUUCUCAGCAUCGCUCUGAGUUUCCACAUCCAUGACGGCCUCAAACCCCUGACGUGAAAUCUUGGAUUUGAUAGUGGUUGGUUCAGCACCCAACGCCUUCAACUCGUAUAGAACCUCCAACAUUGAACCUUCUAACCCAGAUGAUGUUGUACUCACAACUUUGAUCUUCACCUUCUUCUUCGCAACUCUGCGAUCCAAAGUCGACGAUUGAGCUUCUUCUGCUUCUUGGAGGUCCAUGAUUCUUCUUUCCAGCAUCUGCUUGUAUCCCUCAAUCUCUUCUAUCCUCCUCGUCGCCCCUGUCACAAUCGCGUUCUUGUUCUUCUUCCCAAUGCAUAAAAAAAAGUCUCAGUUGAAAAGUCAGUUGGACAAAUUUAGUAACAUUUAGAAUCAUGUUUCUUAGGAAAGUUGAAACGGAGGAUAGUUGAAGAAAGUGGAUUUGAUAAUAGAAAAAAUUAUCGGAGGAAGGUUGAAUAAAGUGAUAUAUGAAAUUACAGGUUUUUAUUUUAUAGAGAAAUUUCUUGUAAUUUUAUACAUUUAUCAUAGGAAUAUUUUUAUAAAAAAGUGAAUUUGUUCACGAUUUUAUUAAAAUCCUAAUCAUUACUUGGUUUAGUCAAUUACUCAUACAUGACGUUCGAGAGGUGACGAUGAAGUUCGAGUUGAAUCACAUACCAACGCUGCCGCCUAUGCACUUCCGUUAAGGUACAUACCCAACACUUACUAAUUGAAUUUUCUUUCCGCAAAUCCUUUCAACGUCAACUCAACUUGUUUUCGCAAAUCUCAAUUUAAACUUUCUUUAAAAAACACGAUUCUAGAUGCUAAGCUUUUACCUUAGUGUCGGAGGGCAACAUGGAGAGAAGAGAAGAGUAGCCUUCCUUCUCCUCCUCCCUUCUCAGUCUCUCGUUCAUCAUAUGCCGAAACGACAAAUGUUGCUUGCUGCUGCUGCUGCUGUCCACAUUCUUCCCAUUGAAUUCCCAGUUUGUCUUCUGGAAUUCCAUCAUUCUCCUGUUCAAGUUGGUUGCUGGGGCUACAUUAUUACUUGAAUAAUCCUCUCUGUUCCCGCCGUUGGAAUAUGGUGCGAAAGAUUGGUUAGGAGGAUGGGUUCGGCCUUUUACAACCAGGCUCAAUUCGUCAACCAAGAAAUCAUCAUCCAUAGAUACCUUCUGAAAAAGCAAUGAAGCUCUCAGCUUUAUCUUAACGGCUAUGAAUAACAGGCACUGCUUCUGUAUAUAUAUAAUAUAAUGUCAAGGAGGAAAUUAAUUAAGCACGUUUUACAGAGAUGGGUGGAGUAGAAAAGUAGCAGAUCGUGUCGUCAAAAUGUAAGAUGUCUCAAUCCAACAGCGUUUUGUUGAGAUAGUGGUCAGUUGUUUCAGAUGCACAAGGUUUUUUAGUUUAAAUCAUUAUUGGUGUCUGGUGAUGAAUCCGCGGAGUUAGGAAGGAAGGAGUCUGUUUCCACGCGAGCAACUUGGAAGAAAAUGCUUCAUACUUUUGGAUGUUUAGUUGAACUCCCACUUGAAUAGUUGUACGUAUUCUUUUAUUGUACAACUUUGACUUUCUCCCUGCGCCAAUUAAAACAAAUUAGGGAUUCCCUGCAAUCACUUGGUCUGUACUUCGAGUACCAAUUCCGCACUUUGGAGUAACGUGAGAUUACAGCAAACUGAGAAAGCGAGCACAACUCCGGAUGCUCCGAGGUAAUCAAAUCCGACACCUCCGGAUGGGGAAACGGGAGGAGAACCUCUUGCAAUUAGAUUGCAGAUGACCCAUCUUGGCCAAACACUUUAAUAUCUAGCUAGUUGAUUUACAAGAAAAAAGAAACAGAUAGACAGAACACAGAGCGUACAGAGUCAAAACAGCUUCACCCAAAUAUAUGUAGUUUGGCAACUCUUCAAUGUUCAACUAUCACUAUAGUUUGGCUGUGGUUCCUCUCACGCAGACGUAUAAAAGAGAGGAAUAUUAACAAUUGUGAAUGACUGCCACAAAAUCCACGCAAGUUACAUUUUGGAACCAACUUGUCUUACAUGUUAUCAAUGUCAAUAUGCCUUUGAACUCGGUUUCGGUAAGUCCUUCGAAAUUGGUUUUGGAUGAUCUGCAAACCCAGCUUACUCAUCACCUCCAAACUCAGACCCAAACUUCGCUGGAAGAAGACUCAUGAAGCUCAAGCACACAGCAUCGCAAGACCUUAAAAGAAAGCAUAUUUCUUCAACACAAAUCGUUAUUCUGGCCUUACGACUUCAAGAUCCAACCAGCCCCUUGUAGCGGGCAUACGACAUGAUUCCUAGGAAUACAACUGCACAGAAUAUCCCUGCUAAGAUCACCACCUAGCACAAUUGAUCCAGUUUGACACACAUUAGUUUGAAACACGAAGUUUCAAACUUCACUAGCUUAUCAACAAAAAGUAUAUUCGCAUACCCAUUUGAAGACAUAUCCAUAGUGAGCGUUCCAUGUGUAGGGGAUAUUCAUACCAAAUAUUCCGGCCACCAAAGAAUAAAUUGACAAACACACGGUGCCUGAACUGAGAAACAACUCCAACUGUUGCACAAAGAAGGAAUAAGUUCAGAGAAAGUAGGAAAGAAGGAACCAGGCUCCACUUGGAUAUGGAUACUGAAGAUGAUUGCAGAGAAAUAAAACAGUACCUGAAUAAGCUGAUUUCGAUGGUUGUCAAGCUGUGACAUGAAAACGUGGAUAAGCCUUCAUUUGCAACCAAAGAGAAGCACAGCCGAAAAACUAGCAUGUAGAUAAAUUACUUUUGAUACUUUUAUAAUGCUUACCUGAAUGUUGAUGUAAUCCUCAGUAUCAUCAAUGUAUUCUCGCAACUGCAUAUUUCAACAAUAUAUGGUUGUUGAAUUGUAUGUAAGUCAUAUGUACGUUGCUACACUCUUACUUAUAAAUGAUCAAUGAAGAACAAAAACAGAGGUGGGAGAACAAACCGUGGUUAAUUUGUUCAGCGUGCCAUCGAUUUGCAUAAAGUAAGCCUGCAACCAUUACUACCCAUAUGAGCAAGCAUUCCCAACAUAAACUAUAAUUUGAAUAAAGAAGCCUAACAGUUAAAUAACCUCUAGUAACAUCUCAAGCUCCUCAACGUCAUUAUCGUCAUCACGAACUGUAGCGACACUUGCCCUACUUGCCCUAGAGAUUUUAGAACCUAUCGUAGGGGAAGCAGAAAACCAAUCGACACCUGAGGCACUAACUGGUGAAGAUGAGCCAGCCAUCUUCCUCGACAAGUAAAGGUCAGCCAUAUCAUCAUCAUCAUCCAGUAACUGUUCCAGCUCAUCACGGACCUACAACCAGAAUGUAUUACUUUGUUCAUAUUAACUACAGAUAUAGGGACUAAAUCAUAAGCAUGUACAUCUAAAAUGCAAGCUGCAACCCUGGCUGUAAGAUAUCACAUUCAAAUAUACAUGAGUGGACGUGAAAUGAAGGGACUAGACUCCAGCAAAAAUGUGAUAAUAAUUUAUCUUUGAGAUGACGAGAUUAGUUAUAUGCCCAAUUUCAUUCAUCCACCUACUUUUUGAACCCGAGCAGUCAACCUUGUCAUUGCACUCUUCAGUUUACGAACUCUAUCCAAAUUGCGGCUGCUGAUCUGACACAUUUAAAGGACAAAUUAAAGAGGAGAAGACCCCACAGUAGAACCUGAAAAUACAGAAUGAUAAAGGAUGGAAGACAACAUAUCAUUGAUGUAUGCUGGAAAUCGAAGAAACUAAUCAAACAAAAUCAGGCACUGUUACGUAAUGAACUGAGAGUUUCAUGCAAUGGAUCGAUCUUAAGAAACCAAAUAUAUCGUCUUUGACAGUGUCAUCCAAUUAAUCAAUUCUUCAAAUGAAUUAUUAUGUUAUCUAAACUGUAUUUCCAAGUAAAUUUUCCUUUUCCCUUGAUCCAAAAAAAAAAAAGAAUUCAUUUUCCCUUUAACACUUAACAGAACCUCUUUUAAGAGGUUUAGUUACACCAAGUCUUACCUUGGAGGUUAGCUCAUCCAGUGCAGGGUAAGCAGCAGUCUCUAAUUCUGUCGUGCGUUCAGCUAGAAAAAUACAAAUGGCUUCCAAAGCAACCUCCAGAGCACGGAAUUCAAAAGGAGAUUCUGUGAUGAUUCAUAAUGCAGUAGCAUCAGGAAAAUGGGGAAGCCGAAAGGGCCUGAAGUAAUAGCUGAAUAAAACCUUUCUACUGACGACACUUCUGUUAGAAGCAAAAUAGUCAUAUUAUAGACUUCUAAUAAAGCAUACCAUCCUCUUCACCCCCUUCAGCAUCAGUUUGCUUGGUGCAUUGGCUUUUAUCAUUUGAUUGGCCUUCUUGCUGAGUGUCAUUUGCAAGUGGUAAUCGCCUCUGAAGUUCUUUGACAACAGGACUAACAUGUUCAUCCGAUGGAUCUCUCAGCAGUACCUAAACAUGGUAACGAGAUACUUUGGAAUCCAGAAGUACAGUGUAAGAGACGAGCACAGAGUUGCUUGAGCCAAGUAAAGAAACUCUGAUUUGAAGCAGGCAUCAAGAUCCACUACAGACUCAUUCUGUACAUUAGGAAGAAAGUGCAACCCCACAAUUUGACUCAAUGCAUUCUGAAAACUAGAGUGAGUCCAAUAAGUCUUAAUCAUAACUAAAGAACAAAAAUCACAAAAACAGAAAUGAUUCUUCACAUCAUAUUUCAACCAAACUAAACAAUGAGUUUAGACUGAAGAUAGCAAGAUCACUAACCUCCUCAGCAGUGAUAAUCGCCUUGAUGUACUGCAACCAAAACAAACAGAGAGCUAUCAGAAAACAAAAAACUACAGCAAUGACUGGCAUAUGACAUGGAUCGAAGUAAAAAAGAAAAAGAACGUACCUCCAAGUUCAAAACAAUGGCCCUCUCUCGGCCGAGAAUUGUGGAGGGGUAAGAGAGCAAGGGAUCGAGGAUGCGGAGAUCGCGCGCGUGAAUCUGAACACGGUGCAUGAUUGCAUGCUUGUCAGCAUCGAGGAUGGUGCCUUGGCCAGUGGAGUCGACCAGAAUCCAACUCAUAGCCGGCUGAGUCUUCUUCUUCACGGCGGCAACCACCACCGCAGGAGGCGGGGGGGUGACUGGAGCCGGGGCGGCCCGCGCAAAGUNNNNNNNNNNNNNNNNNNNNNNNNNNNNNNNNNNNNNNNNNNNNNNNNNNNNNNNNNNNNNNNNNNNNNNNNNNNNNNNNNNNNNNNNNNNNNNNNNNNNNNNNNNNNNNNNNNNNNNNNNNNNNNNNNNNNNNNNNNNNNNNNNNNNNNNNNNNNNNNNNNNNNNNNNNNNNNNNNNNNNNNNNNNNNNNNNNNNNNNNNNNNNNNNNNNNNNNNNNNNNNNNNNNNNNNNNNNNNNNNNNNNNNNNNNNGCCAACCACCACCGCAGGAGGCGUGAGUGUGACUGCAGCCGGGUCGGCCAGAACAACGUGGCUGUCGUUCGCCAUGCCGCUUAACCGUAAUCAAAAAGAGUAUCAGCAGGAGAAAAGCGGGCAAUCAAAUCUCCGCCGCUAUUUAUUAUUAGAGUGACCUAAAUAUGUUAAGAUUCCGCCGGUGGGAAAAGAAACUCGAGAAUAUUAACCAACAAAAGAAAAAUACAACAGAAUUAUAAAAAAAAAAAAAUUAAUUUGUAACACUGCGCUCUGGGCUCUGGCUGGCUUCUGCAGGGGGGGAAGAGAGGAGGGAAUCGCCGAGCGGGUUUCAGGGGUUUUUGCCGUCUUUGCCCUUGUUGUCGUUUUAAUUACUGAAUAAAUAAACAAUUGAUUUUUG